AAAUCGGCCCUGGUUUCAGUCAAAGUUCUGGAAGGGGUUGGGGCUGGAGUGCAAUGUGUAAGGUGGUGCCAAGUCUCCCAACAGCUCCCCCUCUUUGACCUUGCGGAUCUGUGUGGAGAGAGCUGCAGAAAGUUCCGUCAGUUUUCUCACAUACAGACAUUACAAUUUGUUGUACAUCAAGGGCGGGCAUAUGACCUCCCUCCCUUGGUGGACCAGGCAUAUUCAAACCUGCACAUACCUUAGCUAUUUAGCCUUAAGGGUUUGAGUGGCGCGUUCCACGAGGCCCUGAGAUUGGGGCCUGCACACCUACCCUAAUUUGUGUACAAUCCCGAAUCUCUCCUCCACCUGUCUCAGGUGCUUGUUACUGAUUUGCAGCCACUUUAUGACUGACUUGGCAUCCUCUCGUGCCUUUGGUAUUGCUCUGGUACUACUGUUACCCACCCAACAAACCUGUCUUUCACUCCCACCAGGUACCCCCUUUCCACUUGCCACGUUAUCUGGGCCCCUAACGGUGUCUUCCUUUUCUGUUUUUUUUUUUUUUCUUCCUUCUUAAACAUGUGGUUCCUGUUUCUGUCCUUUUCACUUUCUAUUCCCUUCUCAACUGCUUCCUUCAAACCUUCCUCCAUCACUACCUUAUUGCUUUAUAAUGUUCCUUUCCCCCCGCUCUAUCCUGUAUCUUCUGAUCUAAAUAUUCGCUAAAUUUAAGUUUAAUUGGUUGGCUUGUCGCCAUUAUGUUUUAACGAUUCUAGUCCUUUUAACUUUGUAAACUUAGCCCGUCGUUGGUUAAGACCAACGAUGUAUUCUCGGUGCGGACACUGACUUAACUCUGGUGCCCCACCCUCGUAAACAAAGUGUUACUACUUGUCUAAUUUCCCAGGCAAUACCCACGGCACGGCGGCCUUUUCAAUUUAUUAUCACAAUUAUGUGGACCAAAUUAGGCUCUAACUUAGUGUUCGGGGUCUCAAGGAACGGACCCUUAUGUUACAUACAAUUACUCGACAGGGAUUAUACACUUUCACAAUUGGGUAUACAAAUACAAUUAAAACAAAUUAUGACACCUUCACUGACUACCGGGCAGCAAAGAAAUUGACUGACAUCCGGGACGGGGUUAACAAUUAUAGUGUCACGUCAGAAGGAGCCCCCGGGCAGCGACUAAUUCGCUGACAUCCGGGACAAGAUUACACAGUUGUCAAACCGAGCAGUAACUAUUUUACUGACAUUCGGGACAGGGCUAAACAAUUAUAAUGUCACACCGAGCAGUGACUAGUUCACUGACAUUCGGGACAGAGCUAAACAGUUAUAACAAUAUUAUUCUAUUUUUAAAUUCAUCCGACUUUUCAUUGGUGGUCCCGGCAGGUUGCCACUCCAGCCGUCCUCCAAUGUCACGAAUUAUUAUGCUAUCAAAAGUUUGUCACACAGACUCUUUAUCUACUUUGAAUUGAUCUGAAUAAUAUGGGUGGACUCAACUGGUUGCCACGUCAGUCGUCCCCCAAGUCAACAGAUAUAUUCUAUCAAUGAUGGGCCCACACAGGCCGGGUCCACACAGGCCGGGUCCACACAGGACGGGUCCACACAGGACUUAACUAACUUAAAAUCUAUUCAGUCAAAUAUCUUUGUGUUCGGCCUUAACAUUUAAUUAUAGUUAUUACAAUUUCGACAACAAUUCAUACUCACGCCCAGUACUACUGAUCAGAAUUUGGAUAAAACUAUAAUACAAUAUGCAGAUUUUGUUUUAACAGGCUCUGCUUACCUUAUUUAGUCGAGCUCGUUGAUCAGUUUCCUGGGGCGGGCAGAAUCGCCGAUGUCUCCUGCGAACAGGUCACCCGUCCUUACGAGAUUGUCCCGGACUUGUCUCCUCUCACAUCAACCAUUAAUGGACCGAAUUCAAGAGUUUGAAACCAUCCUCUGCUACCAAUUCUGUUGAUGAUUAGUUAUUUGAGAAGGAGACAAGUCAAGACGCUGGACCGGGUGAUUCAGUUUAUAGUAAGGCAGUUUAUUAUGAGACAAAGAUAUUUGGCAAAGCGUGCACGGACUCCUUCGUUUAGCUCUUAGGGAACUAGCAGAAGAGAGAGCCCCGAAACAUAGUGUACAUCCAAUUUAUACAAUGAAAUAACAGUGUGUUGACGUUGAGUCUAGUAGGUCCGCUCUCCUGACUGGUCGAUGAGUGGAGGGACGGUCCACUCUCCAGGUGGUGUCGACUUCCCAUUGGCCCUUG
rnacentral:lncRNA from 1 species